GAUUUUAUAACAAAUUUCAUAAUACUAAUAUCUGAAUGAAUCUUUAGAUUUGUUACAACUCACAACAUUCCAUCACAACAUUUAUCAAUGAAAUCAAUAACAAUGUUAUUGGUUCUUUGAGAAGUCAAUGAACUCUGGCUCAAAGAGAAAGGAGUCAACUGGUAAAAUGAAUUACUUUUGGUACAUGGUUGCUAUGUCAUCUAUAUUCGUGAAAUUGACAUCAUGACAUGGCCGUAUUGGCUCAACAGCCUCCUGAAGAUGCUAAGUAAGAAAAAACGUAAGAGAAUUUUAUUGGUAAAAAUGACAUUUAUUUUCUUUCUUCAUUUGGAAUUCAUCAAUAGCAUAGAUAGACUCACCUUCUGUCCAAUUACUCCAAUUUGGCGUACCUCACAGCGUAAGGUGAAGUUGGCAGUGUCACUAUAUCUC
rnacentral:lncRNA from 1 species